rnacentral:rRNA from 1 species
AGUGAACGCUGGCGGUAGGCCUAACACAUGCAAGUCGAACGGCAGCACAGUAAGAGCUUGCUCUUACGGGUGGCGAGUGGCGGACGGGUGGGGAAUACAUCGGAAUCUACUUUUUCGUGGGGGAUAACGUAGGGAAACUUACGCUAAUACCGCAUACGACCUACGGGUGAAAGCAGGGGAUCUUCGGACCUUGCGCGAUUGAAUGAGCCGAUGUCGGAUUAGCUAGUUGGCGGGGUAAAGGCCCACCAAGGCGACGAUCCGUAGCUGGUCUGAGAGGAUGAUCAGCCACACUGGAACUGAGACACGGUCCAGACUCCUACGGGAGGCAGCAGUGGGGAAUAUUGGACAAUGGGCGCAAGCCUGAUCCAGCCAUACCGCGUGGGUGAAGAAGGCCUUCGGGCUGUAAAGCCCUUUUGUUGGGAAAGAAAAGCAGCAGGUUAAUACCCCGCUGUUCUGACGGUACCCAAAGAAUAAGCACCGGCUAACUUCGUG